AGGAAGCUGUCUGCAAAUUCAGGUAGCUUUUCUGACUCUUAAUGAGGUCUUGAAUAUUCUUUCAGAGAAAUGCCAGCAAAAACUGUAGUCAUUUGGGGAAGAAUAAGUCUGGAAGAAAAAUACACAGAGGACUAGCACCAAGAGGGACUUUGUAUUUGCUGCUUAACAGCUCAAAAUCUGGUGGCUUAAAACAACAAUCAUAAAGCAUUGCUCACAAGUCUAAAGUCCACAGCUCACGAUGAUGACAAUCCUGAGGAUACAGGAAAAUCAUUUCCCAUGCAAGAAGAAGAAACUAUCUGAAGAAGAGAUAAGAGUGUGCCAUGACAUCAAAAAAGAAAAAAAGGUAGAGAAAUGGAGAACAGGAUAAAGGCCUAGAAUCCCCUGCUCCAGAAAGGUAAGGGCAAUUGUGCCAACUAUAAUA